rnacentral:rRNA from 1 species
AAAUUAAGCAUAUAAGUAGGCAGAGGAUGAGAUACACAACUGGAUUGGCACAGUAGUUGCGAAUGAACAGCAAAUUGCUCAAAUUGAAUUUGGGGACACCUGGCCCUCAACAUGAAAUCUCUGAAUGCUCCACCAACAAAGGCUCAGGAACAAAACCAUUCUGGAGGGGAUUGUGAAAGUGCCAACAGGGGUGAGAAUCCUGUGGUUCUUGCAGACCUUGUUCACGGUGUCUGCUUUCCAGAGUCAUGCUCCUUGGAACUGGAGUGCAAAGUGGGUGGUAGCUUCCACACAAAGGCAAACACACCACUGAGACUGACAGUGAAGAAGUACCGUGAGGGAAGUAUGAAAAGGACUUUGGAAAGAGAUUUAAAAGAGCCUGCACUUGCUGGACAACAAGCAUACAGAAUGAUCGUGUGAUUGGACAGAUUGCUGUGUGAAUACAGGUAACAAUCCUGUGCUGCAUGCGGAGAUUCUUUCUUGGUGUGCCAACUAGUGUGAGAGCAGUCAGUAUCUGUGGGCAGUGCUUGGGGUGUGUCUUGUGUCACAUGUGAUUGUAUGUACCUGGUCUGAACAUGUGAAACUGCAUCUACUGGCAAUGAAGAGUUAUGCAUGCAGUUGCUUUCACCAACGGUUCACCUUGUCAACGACAUGGGUGCCUUUCUGUGUGACCCGUCUUGAAACACGGACCAAGGAGUCUAGGCAGUAUGCAAGCUUGGGGGUGACAAACUCUGAGCACAAUGAAGCUGGAGUCCCGGAAAUGGCAGGGGUGUUCAACCAAGCAACAGGACAAGGUUUGAGUCUGAGCACACUUGUUAGGACCCGAAAGAUGGUGAACUAUGCCUGAAAAGG